rnacentral:rRNA from 1 species
GAGUAAUACAUAAGUAACCUGCCCUAGACAGGGGGAUAACUAUUGGAAACGAUAGCUAAGACCGCAUAGGUACGGACACUGCAUGGUGACCGUAUUAAAAGUGCCUCAAAGCACUGGUAGAGGAUGGACUUAUGGCGCAUUAGCUGGUUGGCGGGGUAACGGCCCACCAAGGCGACGAUGCGUAGCCGACCUGAGAGGGUGACCGGCCACACUGGGACUGAGACACGGCCCAGACUCCUACGGGAGCAGCCAUG